UACAGAGGGCGCGAGCGUUGAUCGGAAUUACUGGGCGUAAAGCGCGCGUAGGCGGCUUUGCAAGUCGGGUGUGAAAUCCCCAGGCUUAACCUGGGAACUGCAUUCGAGACUGCAUUGCUAGAGUAUGGGAGAGGGAAGUGGAAUUUCCGGUGUAGCGGUGAAAUGCGUAGAUAUCGGAAGGAACAUCAGUGGCGAAAGCGACUUCCUGGACCAAUCCUGACGCUCAUGUGCGAAAGCGAGGGGAGCAAACAGG
rnacentral:rRNA from 1 species